UACGGGGGGGGCAAGCGUUGUUCGGAAUUACUGGGCGUAAAGCGCGUGUAGGCUGCCCCGCAAGUCAGGUGUGAAAGCCUGGGCUCAACCUAGGAAGUGCACUUGAAACUGCGGGGAUCGAGGGCUGGAGAGGGAAGCGGAAUUCUCGGUGUAGAGGUGAAAUUCGUAGAUAUCGAGAGGAACACCGGUGGCGAAGGCGGCUUCCUGGACAGUUACUGACGCUGAGACGCGAAAGCGUGGGGAGCAAACAGG
rnacentral:rRNA from 1 species